rnacentral:tRNA from 1 species
GCCGGUGUGAUGGAAUUGGUAGACGUAGCGGACUCAAAAUCCGCUGGUGGCGACAUCGUGGGGGUUCGAGUCCCCCCACCGGCACCA